rnacentral:sRNA from 1 species
UCCGGCCUGUAAAGCAGACCUAUGUAACAAAAUGUUUAUGAACACUUCGCUACACAGCUUCAUUGUAAGUCAUGUCCUGAAGAUUCACGCACGUUUGGCCGCAUAAGUAAGGUAACAGUCAGGCUAAAAGCGCAAUUAAGCGUCAAUUAGUUUAUUAAAAUUUUUAGGAGUCAUUCAUGGCUAAAGUAACUGGUGUAGUUAAGUGGUUCAACGCUGAUAAAGGUUUCGGUUUCAUCACUCAGGACAACGGCGGCGCAGACGCUUUUGUUCACUUCCGUGCAAUCCAGACUGAAGGUUACAAAACCUUAAACGAAGGUCAGCGCGUAUCGUUCGAAAUCGAACAAGGCCAAAAAGGCCCACAAGCUGCUAACGUUACUGUACUGUAAUUUAAGCGCUUGCUAAAAAAAGGACACUCAGGUGUCCUUUUUU